rnacentral:rRNA from 1 species
AUACGAAGGGGGCUAGCGUUACUCGGAAUUACUGGGCGUAAAGGGCGCGUAGGCGGCGCUCCAAGUUAGGCGUGAAAGUCCUGGGCUCAACCUGGGAACUGCGCUUAAGACUGGAGUGCUUGAGGAUGGAAGAGGGUUGUGGAAUUCCCAGUGUAGAGGUGAAAUCCGUAGAUAUUGGGAAGAACACCGGUGGCGAAGGCGGCAACCUGGUCCAUUACUGACGCUGAGGCGCGACAGCGUGGGGAGCAAACAGGAUUAGAUACCCUGGUAGUCCACGCCGUAAACGAUGUGCGCUGGAUGUUGGGUGACCUAGUCACUCAGUGUCGUAGCUAACGCGGUAAGCGCACCGCCUGGGGAGUACGGCCGCAAGGUUGAA